rnacentral:sRNA from 6 species
AUGUACCACGCGUACACUUCGGUUCUGAGCGCGCCGUCCGCGCCCACCUGACAGCUGCUCGCUACGUUUUGUUAGCC